rnacentral:rRNA from 1 species
AACGGCCGUACCAUGCUGAGUAUACCGGUUCUCGUUAGAUCACCGAAGUCAAGCAUCAUUGGGCGCGGUCAGUACUUGGGAGGGUGACCACCUGGGAACACCGCGUGCCGUU